AUUUUGGACAAUGGGCGCAAGCCUGAUCCAGCCAUGCCGCGUGAGUGAAGAAGGCCUUCGGGUUGUAAAGCUCUUUCGGCCGGGACGAAAUCGCAUCUUUUAAUACAGGGUGUGGAUGACGGUACCGGAAGAAGAAGCACCGGCUAACUACGUGCCAGCAGCCGCGGUAAUACGUAGGGUGCGAGCGUUAAUCGGAAUUACUGGGCGUAAAGCGUGCGCAGGCGGUCUUGUAAGCCAGAUGUGAAAUCCCCGGGCUUAACCUGGGAACUGCAUUUGGGACUGCAAGGCUGGAGUACGGCAGAGGGAGGUGGAAUUCCACGUGUAGCAGUGAAAUGCGUAGAGAUGUGGAGGAACACCAAUGGCGAAGGCAGCCUCCUGGGCUAGUACUGACGCUCAUGCACGAAAGCGUGGGGAGCAAACAGG
rnacentral:rRNA from 1 species